ACUGGAUCGACUGGAUCUUCUUUGCCCACCUGUCACUGAAUUUGCAAACUGAUGAGGUAGAUGAUCUUUCUGGCAGUGGCAAUGUCUUCAUCAAAUACCUCAUUGCUCAAUAGGGAAAUCUGAUGCUUAACACAGAAGAAAGAACAAGCUGACACUACAAUG